rnacentral:tRNA from 1 species
GCGCCCGUAGCUCAACUGGAUAGAGCGCCUGGCUACGAACCAGUAGGUUGCGCGUUCGAGUCGCGCCGGGCGCA